UGAAUACGAGAUGCUACGGCGUCGAAGCAGUCUAUGUCAUACUUCCAAGAAAAGCUUGCACUGUCAUAAACAAAUAAUGCCUGUACCAUAACCGACACAGGUGGGUAGGUAGAGUAUACUAAGGGGCGCGAGAUAACUCUCUCUAAGGAACUCGGCAAAAUGACUCCGUAACUUCGGGAGAAGGAGUGCCUUAUUUAUAAGGUUGCAAUAACAAGAUCCAAGCAACUGUUUACCAAAAACACAGGUCUCCGCUAAGUCGUAAGACGAUGUAUGGGGGCUGACGCCUGCCCAGUGCCAGAAGGUUAAAGAAGUUGGUUAGCAUCCGCGAAGCUGAUAACUGAAGCCCUGGUGAACGGCGGCCGUAACAAUAACGGUCCUAAGGUAGCGAAAUUCCUUGUCGGGUAAGUUCCGACCCGCACGAAAGGCGUAAUGAUUUGGAUACUGUCUCGGAGAGGGGCUCGGUGAAAUAGACUUGUCUGUGAAGAUGCGGACUACCUGCACCAGGACAGAAAGACCCUAUGAAGCUUUACUGUAACCUGAAAUUGAAAUUGGACUUUACUUGCGCAGUAUAGGUGGGAGGCGUUGAGAAUAUUCUUGCGGGAUUAUUGGAGCCAUCAGUGAGAUACCACUCUUGUAAUGUUAGAUUUCUAACUUUGUAUCAUUAUCUGGUCAAAGAACAGUUUCAGGCGGGCAGUUUGACUGGGGCGGUCGCCUCCUAAACGGUAACGGAGGCGCACAAAGGUUUCCUCUGAACAGGUAGAAAUCGUAUCUAGAGUGUAAAGGCAUAAGGAAGCUUGACUGUGAGACCUACAAGUCGAGCAGGGACGAAAGUCGGUCUUAGUGAUCUGACGGUGCUGAGUGGAAAGGCCGUCACUCAACGGAUAAAAGUUACUCUAGGAUAACAGGCUGAUCUCCCCCAAGAGUUCACAUCGACGGGGAGGUUUGGCACCUCGAUGUCGGCUCAUCGCAUCCUGGGGCGGUAGUACGUCCCAAGGGUUGGGCUGUUCGCCCAUGAAAGCGGUACGCGAGCUGGGUUCAGAACGUCGUGAGACAGUUCGGUCCAUAUCCGGUGUAGGCGUUAGAAUAUUGAGAGGAGCCUUCUUUAGUACGAGAGGACCGAGAAGGACAUACCUCUGGUGUACCAGUUAUCGUGCCAACGGUAAACGCUGGGUAGCUAUGUGUGGAGUGGAUAACCGCUGAAAGCAUCUAAGUGGGAAGCCCACCUCAAGAUAAGUAUUCGC
rnacentral:rRNA from 1 species